GCCUAUGAUGCACCAUCAUCUGUUGGUUCAAUAACAGCUGUUAUCCUAUCAUACCCUUUGUUUAUAUACUUGAAUAAGUACUUGACUGAAGUACUUUGGUUACACCACUCCAUAUUAAUGUGAGCUUGGUACUUGAUUAAUAGUUGCGGAUUGUAAGGCACAACAUAGCGAUUGUCAAGAGAUAUGCCAUUUUUUUCAACAAUGUUUCCAUUAUCUCUUCUCAUAUAAACAUGAUAUCCAUCUUCAUCAACAAUUUUAGAUUGUUGAAUUUUUUUUGGAAAAUACUGAGAACAGUUACCAUCUUUCAUACAUGAAGAAGACAUAUUGCAAGACCCACAUGGACCAUGAAUC
rnacentral:lncRNA from 1 species